rnacentral:lncRNA from 1 species
GUUGUGCUCACUUCCAUUAAAUAAAAGACAUUAGAGUCUCAUCUUAAGCGGUUUUGGGAUAUGUGAUGUAGAAGCAUCAAUAAGAGGCAUUUUAGUAAAAGAGUGCAAUAGUUAAAAGGUUAAGGGAUACCAAAGGAAAAAUAGAAGAGACAAGAGUCCACGAUCCACAUGGACUCAACAAACCUAUCUUUAGGCAUGGUCCAUGAUAGAGCAUUUUUGAAUUGGUUCAUCAAUGUAGCUGACUCCAACCUAUUGGGAAAAGG